CAUGACAUUCAGACAUCUAGAAGAAGCAGUAGUUUGUAGCGACUUCUUUAUUUGGAAGAGAAUACCUAAAACUUAAUUUACCAUUUUGGUGAAAACUGUUUUCUAGAGUCUUAAAAAGAAAAACAAAGCAAGAGGACAAACAGUUCUCAGCCUUGCAUUUACAGCUGUUUGGCACCAUUUCUAUAAACCUCCGUUGCAGCCAGGAAGCACGACACAAGACCAAUGGCCUGGAAGACCUCUCGUAGGGACAGCCGGGAUUUAAGCAGAAAGCGGCUGCUACACACCCCACCCGGCUGCAUCUAUGCUCAGACUGCCGGGAUCCAGGUCUGCACCCAUCCACUCCAAAAAGCACAGCCUGUUGGACCCAACUCUCCAGCAGUAAGGAUUUUCCUUUUCCAGGCCUAUCUACGGAGUGGAGGAGACAGCAGAUGGCCUGCUACACAGCUAAUUUGAGGACAUAUUCAAGACAGUAAUCAGCUACAGAUUGACUUGGCACCAGCCACCAAGGGAGGAGAGGCCAAGUAUUUCUAAAGUCCAGCACGUCCCCGUGACUUUGCCUUCGCUUGCUUUGCCAGUAGAAAGAGAAUAUUUUAAUCUCAUAAUAAUUUGUUUUGGAAGGAACUCUAGAUUUCAUAAGCAGUCUAAAUCUUCAGGUGAAUGGCCACGAUGAAGUCUGGGGAACUCCUCCUUGGACCAAGAAUGGCUUCAUAAUUGACUAUGAACCCUACAACAACAUGGCUGUGACGCAGUUCCAAGAGCUCUUAACAGAGUCCUGAGACAGGCAAGGAGGUUCAAAUCCCAGCUCUGCCAUGAAAUGCUGUGUGACCUCAGGCAAGAUGCUUAACUUCUCUGGGUCUCAGUUUCAUCAUUGGCAAAAUGAAGAGAAUAAUGCCUACCUCUCAGUGUUCUUGCAAGACUGAAAUAAGAGAAGCUCCCAGAGGCAACACGGCUGUCUCCUGUGUCCUGUCUCUCGCUCUUCCUCUGAACAGCCUCUCGACACUCGUCGUUCGUGCUCCCAACCAUUCCCUUUCCAGGCUGCCGGGACCGGUGCCCUGCUCCACGACACAUCCUGAGGUCACCGAGGAGACGUGGGGGCGCUUUCUGUAGCACCAGCGACCCCAGGCUCCUUGAGCUCCUUCGUGAAGAGUCUUUCUGUGAGUCUCCACAGCACAGUGCCUGCCAGGUGCUCAGUGACUGUGGACAGGGUCUUCCUUUCCUGGGAGCACUGAUUCUUUUCCCAGACACAAAGCCCACCUGCCUUCAGCAAAAACCAGCAGGGGAAACAGACCCACAGAGACCCGUCAGCUCUUCCUCUGCAGGACCCCCAGUGUCUACAUUGCUUCCACCACACAAAACUUUGGAAUUAGGGGGACCAGUGGCACCAGCUAUGGUUUGAAUGUGUCCCGUAAAGUUCAUGUGUUGGAAACGUAAUCCCCAGUGCAACGGUGUUGAGAGGUGGGACCUUGAAGAGGUGAUUGGUCACAAGGACUCUGCCCUCAUGAAUGGACUAAUGCUGUCACUGCAGGAGUGAGUCCCUGACAAAAAGGAUGAAUUCAGCCCACUUCAUCUAUCUGUCUCUCCCGUGUGCUCUCUUGCCCUCCCUUACCCUCUCGCCUUCCAGCACGGGAUAGCACGGCAGGAAGGCCCUCUCCAGGUGCUGGCGACAUGCUCUUGGACUUCUCAGCCUCCAGAACCAUGAGCAAAAUAAACUUCUACUGU